UCACCUCCACAAGCUGGGCUGGCCUCCAGCCUGGGCAGAGAGAGUGUAUCUUAGAAAAGCUCACCGUCAAGCACGACUAGAAGC
rnacentral:pre_miRNA from 1 species